ACAAUGUUUAACAAUAGGAAAUAUUCAAGAAUAAAUAAAAUAAAAGUUUAAUCCUAACAACACAAAACAUUCCAGGAAUGUAGGUACUACCGUUCUAUUCCGUGAACAUCUAUCUGAUUAAAUUAUGGGUGGAAAGUUACCACAAGAUUCUAUGAACAUAGUACAAUGUCUUCCUGGAGGGGUAAAAUUUUCCAUUACAAGAUUUUAAGAGAGGCCAUUUAUUGUAAUUACUGUUCAAUUUGCGUUCAUUUUCAAAUUUGCCGCGCGAGUAUCUAUGUAGCGUCUCGUGGUCAUUGGUCAUCACAUUUCAUUUUCAUAACAUAACCGAUAACCUAAAAAUUUAGUAAAAAAGUAAAAAUUUUGAUUGGAAAAAAAUGCAUCGAUAAGGGGAUGUGGGAAAUGGAAAUUAGUGGCUUUUUUGCUGUACUGUCUGCUAGUUUUUGCUCUGGGCACUGGCUAGAUCUCUUGUUUAAACAAUUUUAAUCAGCUGAAAGUGGCAUACAAAAAAAAACCAAGAAGGAAAUGUAUAGCCUUGUGGCUAUGAAAGGCAAAAGAGAGAUAUAAAAAGUGUAUUGGCUAGUUGGAAGAAAGUCCACAUUGUCCAUGCAUAAUAAGUUAUUACAUUAUCAACAAAUAUCAAGAAGAUAGCAGGGUCACGAGCAUCAACUUCAUGAGUUCAAGAAUAUCGAGGAAAUCCAGCUCCUCGAUACUACUGGGCAAACUAGAAGAUUGAAGAGGACAAAUCCUUUUGAACUAGUUUGAGUGAUAGGUGAUAGUGAAAAACGGAGCAUAGUGCUUGUGUGCUGUGCCUGUGUAUAUUAGAAUAGUGCACGAUCUUGUUAGAUUAGAUAAGAGACGCUAUGGGGUAAGCUCUUCAUUUUAAGAAACAGUAGUAAUUUAGGCUAAAUUAAAAUUGCUCAUUGGUCAGUUAUGACCAGAUUGUUUUUUUAUGUUUGGCAAAAAGGACUUAAGUCAGAAUUGCACAUUGAUAAUGUUUUGAUGAUUUCUGGACCAGAAAAAAACUGUUGUAGAUGUAAACUGUAUGUACAGUAGAAUCUACUACAGUACUGUAGAAAUCAUCAAAACAUUAUCGAUGUGCAAUUCUGACUUAAGCCCUUUUUCCCAAACAUCAGAGAAUUGUAAUGUACAAUAAUUCUCCUAUCUGCUUUUUCAUGAAUUUUGUAGGAGACGAAAAACCAUUUUUAGGAUCAUCUGCUUUCACAUGUUUUGUAGUAAAUAGAUAGUUGAAUUUACUACAAAACAUGUCAAAAAAUAUAUGAAAACAGGAGGUGACUAUAAAAAAAGUUUUUAGUCUCUCUUACAAAACUCAUGAAAAAACAAAUCGUAGGUAUGUCACAUCAGUGACUAAGAAUGUCUAAAAAAUAUACUUUGAUGUCCCAAGAACCAAAUAUAACCUACAGUCCAUCUAAUUUACUUACUGUUGCACGUCAUUAUCUACGCCAGAGAUCUAAGUUGACAUAGUUGCCAAAGUAUAAAAAGAUCCUGAAUCCAUUUUAAAUCAAAUAUGUCACAUAAUUAUUGUAAACGUGGAUUAUACAACAAAACAAAUUAAUAUUCAAUGUAAAUAAGUAAAAACUUAAGAAAUAGAGAACAAGAAUUAAGUUAUAAUCUUUUAAGAUUUGCAGUGCAAGAGUUUUUGCACUGCAUUGUUAAUAAUUAAAAAACGGCUCCGAACUCUUGGCAAAAAGCCGGUAGGUUUCUUUGUAUAAGUAUGUCUACAAUAACAACUAAAAAAGUUGUCAGAUACCUCGAUUAUUCCAAGUCGUUAUAAAAUUAGGUGAAAUUUAUAUUUUUAUAGUGGAGGAUCUUUUUAUAGUAAAGUAAAUAAUAAAAACAGUAAAUAUAAUAAAUAAAACAGAUACUUAUAGUAAAGAAUAUAAACAAAUAUGAAGUGUCAUCACCGUAACUGUCAAAUAAAUGUUACCAAUUUAUUCUAAAAUGUCACCUUCGUUCGAUUACAGUUACAGUGUGAUCCGAACAAAUCUGCUUCAUAAAAACGCUUUAUAAUCCAUUUAUACAAAUUAAAUGAAACAUAUUAUUGUGUAUUUCUUUAGGUUAACAUUAAUAGAAAUCUUCAAAUAUUAUUUCUACGCGUAUAUAAUAAAAUAUGUCUAGUGGCUGUAAUUCCAGUGUACUCGGCAAAGUGAUUCUAAAAAAGAACACACCUACCGCCUAAAUAUUUCGUGUUGGUAUCAUGCAACCUCACAGGCUACGACGCGGAUGACGCGCAACAGUUAGUAAAUUAGACGAAGUAUGUAGAUAUAUACAGGGUGUAACAAAAAUACAGGUCAUAAAUUUAAUCACAUAUUCUGGGACCAAAAAUAGUUUGAUUGGACCUAACUUACCUUAGUACAAAUGUGCACACAAGAAAAGUUACAGCCCUUUGAAGUUAUAUAUAUAUAUAAUAGCACCAAGGGUCUUAGAGGCCCAUGGCUUGAAAAGUUUGUUUUUUUUCCUCAUUUUCAUGUUUCUUUAUGUACUGAGAUCUUCUCUGGCUUGAUAUGUGAUUUUUCUCCAUUCCUUCCUGUUAUUCAUUUUUCUUUUCUGACCCUGUAGCACCAUUCUUUCCAAAUCUUUUUCGACCUCUUGCUUCCAUCUAUUUUUCGGCCUUCCUCUUCUCUUUCUUGAAGCUGUAGUGUAGUUUAGUACCAUUUUUGGAGUCCUCGUGUUUGGCAUCCUUUCAAUGUGACCUCGCCAUCUAAGUCUCUGUGCCUUUAUCAUUCAUUUGAAGUUACAAGAUGAAGUGAUUUUUUCCAAUAUAUCGAAAACUAUUAGAGAUUUUUUAUUGAAAAUGGACAUGUGGCAUUAUUAUGGCAGCA
rnacentral:lncRNA from 1 species